CAGCAGCCACGGGAAUACAGAGGGUGCGAGCGUUAAUCGGAUUUACUGGGCGUAAAGCGUGCGUAGGCGGCUUCUUAAGUCGGAUGUGAAAUCCCUGAGCUUAACUUAGGAAUUGCAUUCGAUACUGGGAAGCUAGAGUAUGGGAGAGGAUGGUAGAAUUCCAGGUGUAGCGGUGAAAUGCGUAGAGAUCUGGAGGAAUACCGAUGGCGAAGGCAGCCAUCUGGCCUAAUACUGACGCUGAGGUACGAAAGCAUGGGGAGCAAACAGGAUUAGAGACCCCUGUAGUCCCUGUCUCUUAUAC
rnacentral:rRNA from 1 species